GACCGCGUAGCUCAGUUGGCAGAGCAUUGGGCUAGUAUUCCAAAGGUCGUAGGUUCGUUUCCCAACGUGGUCA
rnacentral:tRNA from 1 species